AUGGACUCCUUCUGCUUCAAUAUGGUGCAGAUCGUAGAAGUGCUACGCUCGUACUGCUUCGGCAAGUCGAUUACACGCACACCUUGUGAUAAAAACAAAGGCAGGUUAGAAGCCAAGAGGGCAGCGGUGGCCAGAGUGUCCUCGAGGCGCCGGUUCCCUGCAGCGGCCCUCGGCGGAGCCUGCCUGCAGGCCUGCCGAGGGGCCCAGACAGCUGCUGCCACCACUCCCCGAAUCAAGAAAUUUGCCAUCUACCGAUGGGAUCCAGAAAAAACUGGAGAUAAACCUCGUAUGCAAACUUAUGAAAUCGAUUUGAAUAAAUGUGGUCCUAUGGUGUUGGAUGCUUUAAUCAAGAUUAAGAAUGAAAUGGAUUCUACCUUGACCUUCCGAAGAUCUUGCAGGGAAGGGAUCUGUGGCUCCUGUGCAAUGAACAUCAAUGGAGGCAACACUCUAGCUUGCACCCGGAGGAUUGACACCAACCUCAACAAAGUCUCAAAAAUCUACCCUCUUCCACAUAUGUAUGUGAUAAAGGAUCUGGUUCCUGAUUUGAGCCACUUCUAUGCUCAAUACAAAUCCAUUGAGCCUUAUUUGAAGAAGAAGGAUGAAUCCCAGGAAGGCAAACAGCAGUAUCUGCAGUCCAUAGAAGAUCGAGAUAAACUGGAUGGGCUGUACGAGUGCAUCCUCUGUGCCUGCUGCAGCACCAGCUGCCCCAGCUACUGGUGGAAUGGAGACAGAUACUUGGGACCUGCGGUGCUCAUGCAGGCCUAUCGCUGGAUGAUCGACUCCAGAGAGGAGUUCACGGAGGAGCGCCUGGCCAAGCUACAGAACCCCUUCUCUCUCUACCGCUGCCGCACCGUCAUGAACUGCACAAGGACCUGUCCCAAGGGGCUGAAUCCAGGGAAAGCGAUUGCUGAAAUCAAGAAAAUGAUGGUAACCUACAAGAAAAAGAAAGCUUCCGCUUAACUCUUCUCAUGCUAACCAUGACCUGUAACCAGCUCAGCUGGACAUAAUUUAUAUCUGAUUUGAGUUUCCACGAUUACAGCAUGUAAAAUAAAGUUUUAA